CAGCCGCCGCGGUAAUACGUAGGUGGCAAGCGUUGUCCGGAAUUAUUGGGCGUAAAGGGCUCGCAGGCGGUUUCUUAAGUCUGAUGUGAAAUUCCUGGGCUCAAGCUGGGGACUGCAUUUGAUACGUAUGGACUUGAGUGGAGAAGAGGGUCGUGGAAUUUCCAGUGUAGAGGUGAAAUUCGUAGAUAUUGGAAAGAACACCGGUGGCGAAGGCGGCGACCUGGUCUUUAACUGACGCUGAGGCGCGAAAGCGUGGGGAGCAAACAGGAUUAGAUACCCCCGUAGUCCCUGUCUCUUAUAC
rnacentral:rRNA from 1 species